rnacentral:rRNA from 1 species
GAUGAACGCUGGCGGCGUGCUUAAUACAUGCAAGUCGAACGGAAAGGCCCUGCUUUUGCGGGGCGCUCGUUUGGCGAGCGGGUGAGAAACACGCGAGUAACCCGCCCCUGACUUUGGGAUAACUCUAGGAAACUGGGGCUAAUACCGGAUAGGAGCUCCUGCUGCACGGUGGGGGUUGGAAAGUGUCGGUGGUUGGGGAUGGUUUCGCAGCUUAUCGGCUUGUUGGUGGGGUAGUGGCUUACGAAGCGUUAGAGGGAUAGCCGGCCUGAGAGGCGGGACAGCGACAAGAGGACUGAGAGACGGAGCAGACGCCUACGGGCGGCAGUAGUGGGGAAUAUGACAGAAUGAGCGGAAGCCUGAUACGGAGGCGCCGCGUGCGGAAUGACGGCCUUCGGGUUGUAAACCGCUUUCGCAUGUGACAAGGAGUGAGUGACGGUAAUGGGUAAAAAAGCACCGGCUAACUACGUG